UCUUACAUAAAAGUGUUCUUGCAUUAAAUUGUGAUUGGAAAGCAGUAGACGAUGCUUACACUUAGUCUAAUGGGAUCCAACAUUCCAGUUUCUCAUUGGAUCCACGUCAUCAAAAAUAACCGCCCGAUUCUAGUGGGGGUGCAAGAUUCCGCCGAGACAUGCCAUUUGUAAAGACAUGCUAUUUCUAAUGGCGCAACAUCGAAAUAACCAAACACGCCAUUUCUAACGGCGCGUGACUGAGUUGACCGGUCAAUGCGCCAUUUAAAAUGGCGCGACGGAAAAUCCCUAAAAUCAGCAGAACGAGAUCUCUUUCUUCUUUUCUCUUUUCUUCUUAAAUCGAAAACCCCCAUUUUCCUUGUAUGGAUUGAAGAUUGUUUGGUGAUUUUUGGAGGCUAAUCUUUCAAGGGUUUCUUCUACUUGGUGUUGAGAACCAUUGGAUGGUAUUUUGGGUGUUUUUUAUCCACAAAUCAAGGCUAGGACUAUGAUUGGGCAUCUUGCAAAUGACUUUACCAUAGUGGUUAUUUUCUGUACAUGAUCAGGAAGGACUUAUGAUCGGGCUUCUUGCAAAUGACUAUGCAAAGGUGGUUAUUUCCCGCAGGCAAUCAGUAACGUACUAUAGAGCAAGUGUUUGAAGCUUGGACAUGGAAUGUGUUGCAAGGCAGGUGCAAACAAAUAUGGAAUAUCUUGCAUUGCGCCAUUGUUUGGAACAUUUGGAAGGAAAGAAAUAAUAGGGUUUCUGUGGCAAGCCUAAAGAUUCGACUGAGAUUAUAAUCCUUAUUAAGAAAACCUUGGUUCUUUGGAGUUGCGAUAAAGACACUUUCAAGUUCCUAGACAGUAGCCAAGUUCUUCAUAACUGGGAGCUUUCGAUCCAUAUGUAAUUGGUACUGACUUUGUGUCUUUGCUGAGUUAGACUUGUUUUUGGUUGAUUUGGUCCUGUUAUGUCGA